rnacentral:rRNA from 1 species
GACGAGUAUCGGCCAGCAGGCGUGGGAACGUGUGGGGGGGUAGGGGUCAACGGAAUGGAUGUGCGGAACGCGUGCGCAUGGGGGUGUGGAAGCGGGAGGUGAAAUCCGCGGGCUUAACCGUGGAAGGGCAUGUGGGACGGCAAGGCUGGAGUGCGGCAGAGGAGACGGGGAUUCCUGGGGUAGCAGUGAAAUGCGGAGAGAUCAGGAGGAAUACCGAUGGCGUAGGCAGGUCUCUGGGCUGACACUGACGCUCAUGCACGAAAGCGUGGGGAGCAAACAGGAUUAGAUACCCGAGUAGUC